AACGACUCUCGGCAACGGAUAUCUCGGCUCUCGCAUCGAUGAAGAACGUAGCGAAAUGCGAUACUUGGUGUGAAUUGCAGAAUCCCGUGAACCAUCGAGUCUUUGGACGCAAGUUGCGCCCCAAGCCUUCUGGCCGAGGGCACGUCUGCCUGGGUGUCACAAAU
rnacentral:rRNA from 1 species